rnacentral:tRNA from 1 species
GUCAUGGUUAGCAGUUAAAGAGAGUCUUGGUAUAGAACGAUCAAUUAAUAAUUUUCUUCAUUACAUUCAUUACU